ensembl:lncRNA
GCUGUUUGAAAGACCUUAAUCAAAUCUGAUGAUGGGCAAGGUAGUCACUGAUGGAAUUACGCAAGAGGAAGGAGUGCAUCACCUGUGCUGUGGCUGUGCCUUGCAUCAGUGCUCCUAUAAGUCUCCUAUCAGAGUAACUUGAGCAACCUCUCAGUGGUCAUCUUGGCACUAGCAGAUCAUGUAGGGCAAGCUACAGCCAUAAUAUUUUGAGCUGUGCCAUUCCUUUUUUCAAGCUCACUCACCUGCUAACUGACACCAUGGUGGAUGGCGUUAAACUUCCCCCAUGGGUCCAAAAAGAAUGCUAUUUCCUUUGUUUUUAUUGGAUUUCUGUGCCAAGAAAUUCCUGAAGAUGGAAUUAAGACUCUGGCAUAUACCUGUUUCUUCUUGCUCAGGCCUUGCUUUGCUGUUGCUAGGGCAUCAUCCCAGUCCUGGUUCACUGCAGGCAUAGGUGGAAGUUGCUGGCUUCUGUCAGCUUAAUAGCAGUGCACAUAAGUUCUCUGUCAAGCUGCAUCUUGCCCAUCCGCUCAGCCUUGUUUAAACACAGGGAGGGAGGCAGGGGAUUGUUUCUUGCCUUCUGAGAAAUGUUUCAUGAACCUGGAAUUUUUUUGAGGUCUUUUUCUGAGGUUGGCUUCUCGGUAAGUCUUCUUUCCUGAAAUCCCAAUGAAGCACACAUAACGUUCCAAGAAAUCGCACCUCAGGCUUUGGGGUAGAAGCGUGGGAUAAGUGCAGGUUUGAUUAACAACAAGUAAGUACUUUGCAUGGUUCCCCUUACAAAAAAAAAAAAAAAAAAAGAUAGAAAUAGCUUCCUGUGGGACAUACAUACCCACCAAAAAGCCCCAGCUUCCAACAAACAAAACAAAACAAAAGAGAAAAGACUUCUGAGUUUCUUUCUGAUCUGAACAUGGCCCUCAGACAAGGCCGGUGAUUGAAGUACACCCAGGGUGUCUCACAGACCAAUGCAAAUCACUGCCCCAAGAUGCCUCCCAGCUACUCCUCUCUUCUGAGGACACACCCCCAAGCCUGCUGUGCUCUGCAGGUGGGUCCACUUGCUCCCUGCCAUUAGCAUGAAAACAUGCCACCAGUCAUACCCAUUCUCCAAGGCACAGUCAAGCUGUCAGCCCCAGUGACAGCUCUGCUUCACGACGGCUCUUGAAGUGAGCAGCUCAUGAGGCACCUGGGAGCAGUCAAACUCUUUUACAAGACUGAAGGAUCCAUCGCUUUAACUCCACUUUCUGGGGUCUGUAUUUCCCACGUCCCCAUAUCUAUCUCUGUCUUGCUGCAAACAAACAAACAACCAGCACCUUUACUGGUUAUUUAGCCAUAAAUAACAGCUGAAGUGCAAAGCCCUCUGCCUCUAGCUCCCAGACCACGAAACUGGAAGGCAAAAAGAGGGAAACAAACAGCAUUAAUAUGAUUUAUCUUUUGCAUGCUGGCUCCACCCUCUCUCUCAAGGCUGUGCAUUUCAAUAAUGAGAAACAGGGCACUUCCACUUCCCACGCACAAACCCCCUUUUAUUUCCUACACAGUAAGGAGUUAAGACAUGAGAUUUGUUCAAGUGCUUCCCAUCAGAGCUACCUCUGGCUUUGACUUUGAUAAUUCAGCCCAACUGAUCUUUCUCUGGCAGUGCCAGUAGCAUCAGUAACCAGAGCGAUGGAAGGGCUUUACAGCUUGAAUGGCCUUUGGGACAGCUGGUGGAAGUGCCUGAAGCUCUCAGUUCUGCAUCCUCAAGUUCCUAAGCCAUAGUGUAUUCAUGAAUGUCAUUAUCUUUUAUUGUCAGCUUUGAAACAGGAGCAAAAUAAUGAAAGUGAGAUUCUCAAGCAGCUGCAUUACAUCAGUUACUAGAGGAAACUGAAUUGUGUGAUUGGGAAAUGGUGGCAGCUGCCCAAUUUUUCUGUCAUCCCAAUAUCCUGAUGCCAUCAACUCAUAUGUUGUUGUUUAAGUUUUUCAUCUCGGGCUGAGUUUUUCCAUUCCAUGUCUCCUAGGCCAGGUGUGACAGGAGUGAGUGCUGUUGCCUACCAGCAGAAAAUGAAUGUAGGAGACACGGGAGGAUCAAGAGGUGAUCAGCCAGAAAAAAUAUUAGCCUAGUCUCUGUGCAUUCCAGAAAGCUGCACACUACCCACUUUAACCUCUGUCACCAUGCCCCAAUUUCAGCUAAACUCAUAUUCUGCUAAGCCUUUCUGAAGUUACCUUCAAAGCAUCUGUGGUCACCCAGGUAACAUAACAAUGACUGAAACUUUAAAUGGAGUCAUGCUGAUAGACCCCCUUAAGAUCCUCAUCAAAAGCUACUGAGAAAGCAUUGAUUUAGAUUUACCAGCAGGAAAAUUUUGUUAUUAGAAUCACAGAAUCUCCAAGGUUGGAAAAGACCCACAGGAUCAUCCAGUCCAACCAUUCGCCCUUCACCAAUGGUUCUCACUAAACCAUGUCCCUCAACACAACAUUCAAAACAUUCUUUGAACACCUCCAGGGUCGGUGACUCCACCACCUCUCUGGGCAGCUCAUUCCAGGGCCUGACCACCCUUUCAGAGAAGUAGUAUUUCCUAACGUCCAGCCUGAAUCUUCCCUGGCGCAGCUUGAAGCCAUUCCCUCUAGUCCUAUCACUGUCACACGAGAGAAGAGGCUGACCCCCAGCUCACUGCAACCUCCCUUCAGGUAGUUAUAGAGAGCAAUAAGGUCUCCCCUGGGCCUCCUCUUCUCCAGACUGAACAAUCCCAGCUCCUUCAGCUGCUCCUCAUAAGGCCUGUGCUCCAGAC